CGGAGAGCUCCUGCGCCUCGGGGUCUCUUCGACGGGGCCGUCCCUGAUCCAGACCCCGGAGGAGGAAGAGGAGGAGGAUGAGGCUGGAGUUUCUCCUCUUUGUGGCAGGAGCCAUGGCAGCGCCGAGGCUCUCCCCGCCGCCGCUCGGGCUCCUCUUCCAAGAGGACGGGGGUUCCCCGAAAAUCAGCUGCUUCGCCCCGCAGAGCUACGCCGGCAGCACCUUCGAGCUCUUUGCGACGGGCGCCGAUGUCCCCGCGCAGAGUGUCUCCGCCAACCCGGGUCAGCACAAGGUUGAUUUCACCCUGGAUGGGACCGCGCUGGCCUCCCGGUGCUACCGGUGCAGGUACCGGAGCUAUAACGGCAGCGCCUGGCAGAUGUCGGCAUUCAGCAUGGAGAUUGUGGUGAACGCCUCGGGUGACGCCGGCUGUCAUCCCCCCACCGCCGCCCCGACCGGCCGUCCUCUGCCGACCUCCACCACUCUGCGGCAAGGUACCGGCACGGGCGACCCUCCCGGCUCGGCGACAGUGCCGGUGUCUUGUUCCCGGUGGUCCUCUGUGGCCGUGCCGGGGGUUUCCCUGCGGGUGACCCCCUGCUCUCUCUCCCCUUCCAGAUCGUUCCUGGCUUCUCCCAGUUGCCAUCAGCGUGGCCGGCCUGGUGCUGCUGCUGCUGGCAGCGGCGGCGGUGGUGGCCUGUCGAGGUGCGUAGGGUGCGGGCACUCUCGCUGGCGUGGCCGUGCCCGGCAGAGGCCCAUAACCGGGGAGCGCUGGCUGUGCCGACAGGGAUUGGCGCUUCGGAUGUCCCCGCCGGGGCGGCACACGGUUCGGUGCUGCCUCAGGGGCGAGGGUGCCGGUGCUGGUGCCGUCAGGCAGAUCCCUUCUUGGUCCUCACCGGCUCCGGGCGAGUCACCGGCAGCAGGAACUCGGGGGGGUUGUGGUUCGGGGAGAAGCGGGUUUAUGGCACCUGCUGGGUCCCCCCCGGCAUCACCGCGCAGCUCCGGUGUCUGAGCCUGGCUGCGCCUCCACCCGUCUCUGUUUUCUCUCUCGCCAGUCAAGGCCAGGAGACAGCGGGCAAAGAGGUGAGAGCUUUCGGAGCCGGCGCCGCUGCGGCUAAACCAUCCCCGAAAGCUCCCUGGGACCCCCCGGCCGAGCCGCGGCGCCGGGCUCCCCGCUGCCUCCUCCCUGCCCGCGCGCGCCCCUGCCCGCCGCGCUGCCACCGGUUUUGUUUUUGCAGGCAGCAGGCGUCUUGCUGGACGGAAACGCGGUACCCCACCACCGGUAAGGCUCAGACCCACCCUGUGCCGGGGCGAUGCCCCUUCGGCGGCCGGUGCCACCGCUUCCCCCAGCCCCCAGCACACUAAAACCGUCCCCGUCCCCUUUUUUCUCCGCAGAGCUUUCCUAUGACAACUGCGUCUACGCCGUCAGCGUGGUGAGUGGGGGCGGACGGGGGGUCCCGUGCCCACCCGGGGUUGGUUUUGGGGUCUGCCCGCCUGCCGGAGCGGCACGGGCUCAUCCGGCUGCCGGCGGCUGCCCCGGCUCACCCCCCCCCCCCCCCCCCCCCCCGGCAAGAAUGCGCAGCCAGGAGCCGCCGACGGCACCGGCACACCCCCGGUGUCCCCACAGAGAUACCCCCAGGCGUCCCCCCCCAUGGCAUCCCACUUCAGCACCUUCAGGUCCUUGGCAUGAGCCCCGGCGGGGCCGUGUCUGCCGGAGCUCCCCACGGCACCAGAGCCCAGCUCCUCCUUCUGCCGGGGAGCACGAGGAGCUCCCGGCCCAACCGCGAGGGAAGGGGCUGCGUGAAGUCAAGGUCGGUGAGGCGCCGGCACGCCGCGGCACCACGCCGGCUGGGGGACGUGCCGGGGGCUUCCCGGAGCUGCCCACGAGACCCCCGGCACGGGAGAGGUGCCGACGCACCGCCGGCGGUUCAACACCAGAGCCGGCAAAGGGCCCUCCUCUUCCUCGCACCUUUGCCACCGGGGAGGCGGUGGGCGCGCGGCAGAGCUGGGCUGGGCGCCCCAAAUCGCGGUGACUCUGUGCCGGGGCGUCUCUGCUGGCACUGGAGCCGGCUCUGGUUACAAUAAAGGUGUUUGCCGCCAGGUGCCGGUGCAGGACGUGGGUG
ensembl:lncRNA